rnacentral:rRNA from 1 species
CAGGGCGUCAUAGAGGGUGAGAAUCCCGUACGUGGCCGGCGGUCAAUUCCGUGUGAAACCCCUUCGACGAGUCGAGUUGUUUGGGAAUGCAGCUCAAAAUGGGUGGUAAAUUUCAUCUAAAGCUAAAUACCGGCCAGAGACCGAUAGCGCACAAGUAGAGUGAUCGAAAGAUGAAAAGCACUUUGGAAAGAGAGUUAAAAAGUACGUGAAAUUGUUGAAAGGGAAGCGCUUGCGACCAGACUUGCUCGCGGGUGAUCAGCCUCCCUUUGGGGGGGUGCACUCACCCGUGAUCAGGCCAGCAUCGGUUUUGGCGGGUGGAUAAAGUCCCCAGGAAUGUGGCUCCCUUCGGGGAGUGUUAUAGCCUGAGGCGYAAUGCGCCCAGCCGGGACCGAGGACCGCGCUUCGGCUAGGAUGCUGGCGUAAUGGUUGUAAGCGACCCGUCUUGAAACACGG